rnacentral:rRNA from 1 species
UAGGGAAUCUUCGGCAAUGGACGAAAGUCUGACCGAGCAACGCCGCGUGAGUGAAGAAGGUUUUCGGAUCGUAAAACUCUGUUGUUAGAGAAGAACAAGGACGUUAGUAACUGAACGUCCCCUGACGGUAUCUAACCAGAAAGCCACGGCUAACUACGUGCCAGCAGCCGCGGUAAUACGUAGGUGGCAAGCGUUGUCCGGAUUUAUUGGGCGUAAAGCGAGCGCAGGCGGUUUCUUAAGUCUGAUGUGAAAGCCCCCGGCUCAACCGGGGAGGGUCAUUGGAAACUGGGAGACUUGAGUGCAGAAGAGGAGAGUGGAAUUCCAUGUGUAGCGGUGAAAUGCGUAGAUAUAUGGAGGAACACCAGUGGCGAAGGCGGCUCUCUGGUCUGUAACUGACGCUGAGGCUCGAAAGCGUGGGGUGCAAACAGG